UACGUAGGGUGCGAGCGUUAAUCGGAGUUACUGGGCGUAAAGGGUGCGUAGGCGGUUUGAUAAGUCUGAUGUGAAAUCCCCGGGCUCAACCUGGGAACGGCAUUGGAGACUGUCAAGCUAGAGUGCGUCAGAGGGGGGUAGAAUUCCACGUGUAGCAGUGAAAUGCGUAGAGAUGUGGAGGAAUACCGAUGGCGAAGGCAGCCCCCUGGGAUGACACUGACGCUGAAGCACGAAAGCGUGGGGAGCAAACAGG
rnacentral:rRNA from 1 species